rnacentral:rRNA from 1 species
UACGUAGGGGGCGAGCGUUGUCCGGAUUUAUUGGGCGUAAAGCGCCCGCAGGCGGUUGGCCACGUCGUGCGUGAAAUCUCUCGGCUCAACUGGGAGGGGCCGUGCGAUACGGGUCGACUGGAGGCAGGUAGGGGGACGCGGAAUUCCGGGUGUAGUGGUGGAAUGCGUAGAGAUCCGGAGGAACACCGGUGGCGAAGGCGGCGUCCUGGACCUGUCCUGACGCUCAGGGGCGAAAGCGUGGGGAGCGAUCCGG